GCCUGGCUGGCUCAGUGGAGCAUGCGGCUCUUGAUCUCAGAGUUGUGAGUUCAAGCCCCAUGUUGGGCA
rnacentral:tRNA from 1 species